AUUGAACGCUGGCGGCAUGCCUUACACAUGCAAGUCGAACGGUAACGGGCCUUCGGGUGCCGACGAGUGGCGAACGGGUGAGUAAUGCAUCGGAACGUACCUUUCAGUGGGGGAUAACGUAGCGAAAGUUACGCUAAUACCGCAUACGAUCUACGGAUGAAAGCGGGGGAUCGCAAGACCUCGCGCGAGUGGAGCGGCCGAUGUCAGAUUAGGUAGUUGGUGGGGUAAAGGCUCACCAAGCCAACGAUCUGUAGCUGGUCUGAGAGGACGACCAGCCACACUGGAACUGAGACACGGUCCAGACUCCUACGGGAGGCAGCAGUGGGGAAUUUUGGACAAUGGGCGCAAGCCUGAUCCAGCCAUUCCGCGUGCAGGAUGAAGGCCUUCGGGUUGUAAACUGCUUUUGUACGGUAACGAAACGGCGAGCUCUAAUACAGUUUGCUAAUGACGGUACCGUAAGAAUAAGCACCGGCUAACUACGUG
rnacentral:rRNA from 1 species